rnacentral:tRNA from 1 species
GCCCCUGUAGCUCAAAUGGAUAGAGCAGUCCCGUCCUAAGGGAAAGGUUAGAGGUUCGAGUCCUCUCAGGGGUACCA